rnacentral:lncRNA from 1 species
UAUUUUUAUAGCUGUCAUCAGAUCCCUGCCCUAGCCCUGGAGCCCUGGCAGGGACAGGAGGGCCAGGGCUGCGCACCUUGACAACGCGCCCACGCCGGGCACAAAGGCCCAUUGUUCGGGCCCACGUUGGCGGGGAAGCGGGCGGGGAGCAGCCGCCUUUCACCCAACCCGCUUGUGGUCGGCGGGGACUGAGGAGCGAUUCACAGAGGCCCCCGCCCCCUGUCCGGGCAUCCAGCCAGGAUGCCUCCCAGGCAGGCACCCUUGCCAAGCUGGGGGAAGGGUGCGGGUGUGCUGGUGGCCCGCCAGCUGCCACCUGGGUUGGCCCUGCUGUGUGGCCCUGAGUCACAGCGCUGUGUCCUGGGAAGCUGGU